rnacentral:rRNA from 1 species
UACGAAGGGUGCAAACGUUGCUCGGAAUUAUUGGGCGUAAAGCGCACGUAGGCGGCGCUGCAAGUCCCAUGUGAAAUCCCACGGCUCAACCGUGGAAGUGCAUGGGAAACUGCAGUGCUUGAGUACUUAAGAGGAUCGCGGAAUUCCCGGUGUAGAGGUGAAAUUCGUAGAUAUCGGGAGGAACACCAGUGGCGAAGGCGGCGAUCUGGGAAGAUACUGACGCUGAGGUGCGAAAGCGUGGGGAGCAAACAGG